rnacentral:rRNA from 1 species
AGAGUUUGAUCAUGGCUCAGGAUGAACGCUAGCUACAGGCUUAACACAUGCAAGUCGAGGGGCAGCGGGAUUGAAGCUUGCUUCAAUUGCCGGCGACCGGCGCACGGGUGAGUAACGCGUAUCCAACCUUCCGUACACUCAGGGAUAGCCUUUCGAAAGAAAGAUUAAUACCUGAUGGUAUGAUGAAAUUGCAUGAUAGCAUCAUUAAAGAUUUAUCGGUGUACGAUGGGAUGCGUUCCAUUAGGUAGUAGGCGGGGUAACGGCCACUAGCCUACGAUGGAUAGGGGUUCUGAGAGGAAGGUCCCCCANAUUGGAACUGAGACCACGGUCCAAACUCCGUACGGGAGCA